GACGAACGCUGGCGGUGUGCCUCACACAUGCAAGUCGAGCGGACGAAGAUUGAAGCUUGCUUCAGUCCUAGUUAGCGGCGGACGGGUGAGUAACACGUAGGAAUCUGCCUUCAGGCGGGGGACAACGGAACGAAAGUUGCGCUAAUACCCCAUAUGCGAGUAAUCGUAAAAGGAGCAAUCCACCGGAAGAUGAGCCUGCGUCCGAUUAGCUAGUUGGUAGGGUAAAAGCCUACCAAGGCUACGAUCGGUAGUUGGUCUGAGAGGAUGAUCAGCCACAAUGGAACUGAGACACGGUCCAUACACCUACGGGAGGCAGCAGUGGGGAAUUUUACGCAAUGGGCGAAAGCCUGACGUAGCGACACCGCGUGAGCGAAGAAGCCUUUUGGGGUGUAAAGCUCUGUCAGCUGGAACGAACACAAUGACGGUACCAGCAGAGGAAGCAUCGGCUAACUACGUG
rnacentral:rRNA from 1 species